GUGCUCACUUCAGCAGCACAUAUACUAAAAUUGGAACGAUACAGACAAGAUUAGCAUGGUCCCUGCACAAGGAUGACAUGCAAAUUCUUGCAGCAUUCCAUAUUUUU